CAGCAGACACAUUCCAGCCAAUCAGCAGAAGACCCUCCCUCCCAGACUCUCCCACCUCCUGGACAGCAUCCAUUUUACAUUCAUUGUGAAGCUGCAUUCUUAGUGAGCUGUCCAGGAGGUGGGAGGGUCUGGGAGGGAGGGUCUGCUGCUGAUUGGCUGGAAUGUGUCUCCUG